rnacentral:lncRNA from 1 species
GCCUUUUUCCGCUGGACGAACUUGGCGCCCCGGCCUUCGGGCGGUUGUUUUUGGGCGCGGCUGUGCUCGCGGCAUAUUUUUGGCACACGGAGGCGCCUCACAAAGUCUCGCGCCAUUCCGAGUCCGGCGGACGAAGUUGGCCAGCCCCACCCCCCAAGGCUAUAGCCCACCCGAUUUUGUGGGCUUUUUCCGUUGGACGAACUUGGCGCCCCGGCCUUCGGGCGGUUAUUUUUGGGCACGGCUGUGCCCGCGGUCUAUUUUUGGCACACGGAGGUGCCUCGCAAAGUCUCGUGCCAUUCCGAGACCAGCGGACGAAGUUGGCCAGCCCCACCCCCCAAGGCUAUAGCCCACCCGUUUUUGUGGGCUUUUUCCGCAGGACGAACUUUGCACCCCGGCCUUCGGGCGGUUGUUUUUGGGCGCGGCUGUGCUCGCGGCAUAUUUUUGGCACACGGAGGCGCCUCACAAAGUCUCGCGCCAUUCCGAGUCCGGCGGACGAAGUUGGCCAGCCCCACCCCCCAAGGCUAUAGCCCACCCGAUUUUGUGGGCUUUUUCCGUUGGACGAACUUGGCGCCCCGGCCUUCGGGCGGUUAUUUUUGGGCGCGGCUUUGCUCGCGGCCUAUUUUUGGCACACGGAGGCCCCUCGCAAAGUCUCGCGGCAUUCCGAGUCCGGCGGACGAAGUUGGCCAGCCCCACCCCCCAAGGCUAUAGCCCACCCAUUUUUGUGGCCUUUUUCCGCUGGACGAACUUGGCGCCCCGGCCUUCGGGCGGUUAUUUUUGGGUGCGGCUUUGCCCACAGCCUAUUUUUGGCAAACGGAGGUGCCUCGCAUAGGCUCGCGCCAUUCCGGGUCCGGCAGACGAAGUUGGCCAGCCCCACCCCCCAAGGCUAUAGCCCACCUGUUUUUGUUGCCUUUUUCCGCUGGACGAACUUGGCGCCCCGUGCUUCGGGCAGUUAUUUUUGUGUGCAGCUGUGCCCGAGGUCUAUUUUUGGCACGUGGAGGCCCCUCGCAAAGUCUCGCGGCAUUCCGAGUCCGGCGGACGAAGUUGGCCGGCCCCACCCCGCAAGGCUAUAGCCCACCCGUUUUUGUGGCCUUUUUCCGCUGGACGAACUUGGCGCCCCGGCCUUCGGGCGGUUAUUUUUGGGCGCGGCUUUGCCCGCGGCCUAUCUUUGGCACACGGAGGCCCCUCGCAAAGUCUCGCGGCAUUCUCAGUCCGGCGGACGAAGUUGGCCAGCCCCACCACCCAAGGCUAUAGCCCACCCGUUUUUGUGGCCUUUUUCCGCUGGACGAACUUGGCGCCCUGGCCUUCGGGCGGUUAUUUUUGGGCGCGGCUUUGCCCACGGCAUAUUUUUAGUAAACGGAGGUGCCUCGGAUAGUCUCGCGCCUUUCCGAGUCCGGCGAACGAUGUUGGCCAGCCCCACCCCCCAAGGCUAUAGCCCACCCGUUUUUGUGGGCUUUUUCUGCUGGACGAACUUGGUGCCCCGGCCUUCGGGCGGUUAUUUUUGGGCGCGCCCAUGUCCGUGGCCUAUUUUUGGCACAUGGAGGCGCCUCGCAAAGUCUCGAGCCUUUCCGAGUCCGGCGGACGAAGUUGGCCAGCCUCACCCCCCAAGGCUAUAGCGCACCCGUUUUUGUGGGCUUUUUCCGCUGGACGAACUUGGCGCCCCGGCCUUCGGGCGGUUAUUUUUGGGUGCGGCUGUGCCCGCAGCCUAUUUUUGGUACACGGAGGUGGCUCGCAAAGUCUCGUGCCAUUCCGAGUCCGGCGGACGAAGUUGGCCAGCCCCAUCCCCCAAGGCUAUAGCCCACCCGUUUUUGUGGCCUUUUUCCGCUGGACGAACUUGGUGCCCCGGCCUUCGGGCGGUUAUUUUUGGGCGCGGCCAUGUCCGUGGCCUAUUUUUGGCACAUGGAGGCGCCUCGCAAAGUCUCGAGCCUUUCCGAGUCCGGCGGACGAAGUUGGCCAGCCCCACCCCCCAAGGCUAUAGCCCACCCGUUUUUGUGGCCUUUUUCCGCUGGACGAACUUGGCGCCCCGGCCUUCGGGCGGUUAUUUUUGGGUGCGGCUGUGCCCACGGCCGCUUUUUGGCACACGGAGGCACCUUGCAAAGUCUCGCGCCAUUCCGAGUCCGGCGGACGAUGUUGGCCAGCCCCACACCCCAAGGCUAUAGCCCACCCGUUUUUGUGGCAUUUUUCCGCUGGACGAACAUGGCGCCCCGGCCUUCGGGCGGUUAUUUUUGGGUGCGGCUGUGCCCGCGGCCUAUUUUUGGCACAUGGAGGCGCCUCACAAAGUCUCGCGCCAUUCCGAGUCCGGCGGACGAAGUUGGCCAGCCCCACCCCCCAAGGCUAUAGCGCACCCGUUUUUGUGGGCUUUUUCCGCUGGACGAACUUGGCGCCCCGGCCUUCGGGCGGUUAUUUUUGGGUGCGGCUGUGCCCGCAGGCUAUUUUUGGUACACGGAGGUGGCUCGCAAAGUCUCGUGCUAUUCCGAGUCCGGCGGACGAAGUUGGCCAGCCCCACCCCCCAAGGCUAUAGCGCACCCGUUUUUGUGGGCUUUUUCCGCUGGACGAACUUGGCGCCUCGGCCUUCGGGCGGUUAUUUUUGGGCGCGGCUGUGCGCACGGCCACUUUUUGGCACACGGAGCUGCCUUGCAAAGUCUCGUGCCAUUCCGAGUCCGGCGAACGAUGUUGGCCAGCCCCACCCCCCAAGGCUAUAGCCCACCCGUUUUUGUGGGCUUUUUCUGCUGGACAAACUUGGUGCCCCGGCCUUCAGGCGGUUAUUUUUUGGCGCGCCCGUGUCCGUGGCCUAUUUUUGGCACAUGGAGGCGCCUCGCAAAGUCUCGAGCCUUUCCGAGUCCGGCGGACGAAGUUGGCCAGCCCCACCCCCCAAGGCUAUAGCGCACCCGUUUUUGUGGGCUUUUUCCGCUGGACGAACUUGGCGCCCCGGCCUUCGGGCGGUUAUUUUUGGGUGCGGCUGUGCCCGCAGCCUAUUUUUGGUACACGGAGGUGGCUCGCAAAGUCUCGUGCUAUUCCAAGUCCGGCGGACGAAGUUGGCCAGCCCCACCCCCCAAGGCUAUAGCGCACCCGUUUUUGUGGGCUUUUUCCGCUGGACGAACUUGGCGCCCCGGCCUUCGGGCGGUUAUUUUUGGGCGCGGCUGUGCCCACGGCCACUUUUUGGCACACGGACCUGCCUUGCAAAGUCUCGUGCCAUUCCGAGUCCGGCGAACGAUGUUGGCCAGCCCCACCCCCCAAGGCUAUAGCCCACC